rnacentral:rRNA from 1 species
UACGGAGGGUGCGAGCGUUGUCCGGAAUCACUGGGCGUAAAGGGCGCGUAGGCGGCCUGAUAAGUAGGGGGUGAAAUCCUGUGGCUUAACCGCAGGGCUGCCUUCUAAACUGUCGGGCUAGAGCACAGUAGAGGCAGGUGGAAUUCCCGGUGUAGCGGUGGAAUGCGUAGAGAUCGGGAAGAACAUCAGUGGCGAAGGCGGCCUGCUGGGCUGUUGCUGACGCUGAGGCACGAAAGCGUGGGGAGCGAACAGG